AUUUUUUCCUGGUGCCGUCUUCUCUUCAUUAAAUGGCAUUUGCUCUGAAGAUAAAUUUAAGAUAUCAGUAUCUUUGGUCUUACAUUGGUCAGAAUCAGAUUUUGGAGCCCGAUUCUUCUCUUUACGCCGUGACGAGGAACCUCUUUUCCUAUUUGACACAGACCCACUAUUCUGAAACUGAUGGUCAUUCUUUCUCUCCUUAUCGGAGCCUUGGUCUGAGUUUCCAGUCUUGCAAGCAAAGUGACUAGCUUGACGUAAGGGAUCUGCACUUACAUCGGUAUCCUGUUGAGUUGCAUAACCAGAAACCAUGGACUUUGCUUUGACUUUUUUACCUGAUUCACGAUGAACAUCUUUCUCCUCUAAUUCAGCUUCAGAUAAUAGAUCAUAACUCUUGCCAUUGCAGGCAUUAUCCUUCUUAACCAUACUGGAUUUAUUGGAGAACACAUCAUUUUCACCAUCAGAAGACCUCUUGGGACUAGAAGUGGGUAAGGCUGAAGAGGGAGCAACAGAAGGUCGCGAAUUGCAUAGAUCCUUUUGUGAAGAAUCUGCAGCUUUAACACUCAACAAAGAUAGAGUACUAUCCAGAUCUUGCCCAGCCUGCUGUUCCUUUUUAACUUGACCUGUUCCAGCACUACCUUUGCUUGCACUAGUGUCCUUCCGGUCAGACAAGGAGACCCUUGCUACCUUUUCCUUCCUAGAGAUGUCAUCACAUAUUUUUUCCAUAGAAUCCUGGGGAUUACAUGUCAAGGAAUCUCGCAGUUCUCUCCCUUUUCUCUUAAUCGGAGAAUCAUUAUUGUCACACUUCCCCUUAUGCGUUGACAUAUCGGAAAU
rnacentral:misc_RNA from 1 species